rnacentral:rRNA from 1 species
AACGAGCGCUGGCGGCAGGCUUAACACAUGCAAGUCGAACGAGAUCUUCGGAUCUAGUGGCAGACGGGUGAGGAACACGUGGGAACAUCCCUUUCAGUUCGGAAUAACGCUGGGAAACUAACGCUAAUACCGGAUACGUCCUUCGGGAGAAAGAUUUAUCGCUGAAAGAUUGGCCAGCGUCUGAUUAGCUAGUUGGUGAGGUAAUGGCUCACCAAGGCUACGAUCAGUAGCCGAUCUGAGAGGAUGAUCAGCCACAUUGGGACUGAGACACGGCCCAAACUCCUACGGGGGGCAGCGGUGGGGAAUAUUGCACAAUGGGCGAAAGCCUGAUGCAGCAACGCCGCGUGAGCGAUGAAGGCCUUCGGGUCGUAAAGCUCUGUCCUCAAGGAAGAUAAUGACGGUACUUGAGGAGGAAGCCCCGGCUAACUACGUGCCAGCCGCCGCGGUAA